AUUUGGUGACUGAGUGGCGGACGGGUGAGUAACGCGUGGGUAACCUGCCUUAUACAGGGGGAUAACAGUUGGAAACGGCUGCUAAUACCGCAUAAGCGCACAGGGUCGCAUGACCUGGUGUGAAAAACUCCGGUGGUAUGAGAUGGACCCGCGUUGGAUUAGCUGGUUGGUGAGGUAACGGCCCACCAAGGCGACGAUCCAUAGCCGACCUGAGAGGGUGACCGGCCACAUUGGGACUGAGACACGGCCCAAACUCCUACGGGAGGCAGCAGUGGGGAAUAUUGCACAAUGGGCGAAAGCCUGAUGCAGCGACGCCGCGUGAGCGAAGAAGUAUUUCGGUAUGUAAAGCUCUAUCAGCAGGGAAGAUAAUGACGGUACCUGACUAAGAAGCACCGGCUAAAUACGUGCCAGCAGCCGCGGUAAUACGUAUGGUGCAAGCGUUAUCCGGAUUUACUGGGUGUAAAGGGAGCGCAGGCGGUACGGCAAGUCUGAUGUGAAAGCCCGGGGCUCAACCCCGGUACUGCAUUGGAAACUGUCGAACUAGAGUGUCGGAGGGGUAAGUGGAAUUCCUAGUGUAGCGGUGAAAUGCGUAGAUAUUAGGAGGAACACCAGUGGCGAAGGCGGCUUACUGGACGAUAACUGACGCUGAGGCUCGAAAGCGUGGGGAGCAAACAGGAUUAGAUACCCUGGUAGUCCACGCUGUAAACGAUGAAUACUAGGUGUCGGGGAGCAAAGCUCUUCGGUGCCGUCGCAAACGCAGUAAGUAUUCCGCCUGGGGAGUACGUUCGCAAGAAUGAAACUCAAAGGAAUUGAC
rnacentral:rRNA from 1 species